UUCCGGUUGAUCCUGCCGGAGGUCACUGCUAUUGGGAUUCGGCUAAGCCAUGCAAGCGGAGGGCGCGGUCGAAAGAUCGUGGCCCCGCACACUGCUCAGUAACACGUAGUCAAUCUACCCUUGGGACGGGGACAACCUCGGGAAACUGAGGCUAAUCCCCGAUAGGUGAGGGACGCUGGAAUGCCUCCUCGCCCAAAGCUCCGGCGCCCAAGGAUGGGACUGCGGUCUAUCAGGCUGUUGGUGGUGUAACGGACCACCAAACCUACGACGGGUACGGGCGAUGGGAGUCGGAGCCCGGAGAUGGGGACUGAGACAAGGCCCCAGGCCCUACGGGGCGCAGCAGGCGCGAAAACUCCGCAAUGCGCGCAAGCGUGACGGGGGAAUCCCAAGUGCCGUUGGUCUUAUGAUCGACGGUUUUUAGGAAGUCUAAGAAGCUUCCAGAAUAAGGGCUGGGCAAGACUGGUGCCAGCCGCCGCGGUAACACCAGCAGCCCAAGUGGUGACCACGAUUAUUGGGCCUAAAGCGCUCGUAGCCGGAUCAGCAAGUCCCUUGUGAAAUCGGGCCGCCUAACGGUUCGGCGUGCAAGGGAUACUGUUGGUCUUGAGGCCGGGAGAGGUCGGAGGUACUCCUGGGGUAGCGGUGAAAUGCUCUAAUCCUAGGGGGACCACCAGUGGCGAAGGCGUCCGACCAGAACGGACCUGACGGUGAGGGGCGAAGGCUAGGGGAGCGAACGGGAUUAGAUACCCCGGUAGUCCUAGCUGUAAAGCAUGCGGGCCAGGUGUCUAGCGCUCCUUGAGGGCGCUAGGUGCCGGAGGGAAGCCGUUAAGCCCGCCGCCUGGGAAGUACGGCCGCAAGGCUGAAACUUAAAGAAAUUGGCGGGGGAGCACCACAAGAGGUGGGACCUGCGGUUCAAUUGGAAUCAACGCCGGU
rnacentral:rRNA from 1 species